CUUAUCUCUCAUCACCGCUCACGCGCGCACACUCUCUCUCUCCCCCCUAGCCUUAUCCUUUCCCCAACCUUAUCUCCUCUCUCCCAUGGCAGUAUGGCACCCAGUGGCUUCGUCAGCGCCGGCGCAGCAAGCUCCCUCGACGUAGGGGCGCAAGGCCUCCGGGGCCUCACCCUGCUCCUACUCGCCACGCUCGCCGUCUCCCAUGGCUGUGCCGUAUUCGCGCUCGGGUGUAGGCGCCAUGGAUGCCCCCCGCACAACUCUGCUGCCGGGCCCCCAUGGACUUGCCGUUUGGCUCGUGUUGUUUUGCUGUCGGCUUGUCAACGACACAGCCAUGCCCGAGCUGCAACCUCUGCUGCACCAUUCAUCGCUGGUCCAGCCGCCAUCUUCAUGUCCGCCGGCCAAGAAGCACCCGGAUUAGUUCCCUUCACUGUGCUGGCUCUGCCGCAUUUUCCGCAUGUGACAGCCAUCUUGUGAAGAGAUCUGGAACCAUCUUCACCGGAUCUGCCCAUCUCCAACCUCGUUGGGUCAACACAGCCUUCAAGAUUGUCAUCUUACAGUGUCAAUCCUUGUAUGUCUUCUAAUCCAGUUGCUUUGCAGCACGGACCGGAGGCUUGCCCCUCCGGCCCUCCCUAGGAUUUGUGUAGAUAGUGAUUAAUUAUGUGCAACUCAUGCGGUUAAGGUUUUUUCUAAGCGAUUUGGUUAUUUGCAGUUGAGUGGAGACUGGAGAAACCAUUAUUUGUUACCCUAGAUUUUUUUCUCGUCCUAGUUACUUUCAAGCUGCAGGUAUGUGAUAGAUUUCAUAAGUGGACUAGACUGUAGUUUCUGAACGAGGCCUGGACGCUCAAUGUUUAAUGCUUCUGUCUUUUCUUUCAAUUAAGUAUGUCUUGAGUUUUUCGAUAGUGUUGUUUGGGCUGUGUAAUCUGUUCUGAAACUGCAGAUUGUGCAGUGUUGUAUGGGCAACUGCGAAUGACCUUAGUUUGGUUCCUCUAUGACAUUCUGCAUAUAUAUAAUUUAUAUGACAUUCAUUUGUAGAUUAGUUCCCUUAACAAGCUAAUGUUGCUUUAACAAGCUAAUGUUCAGUUCUUUGUCUCUUGCAAGGACAGAAGACACCAGAAAAUGGUCCAUGCCAUUCGUGUUAAGCAGACACCAGUACACAUGGAUGUCACUAAUGAUAUGUGCUUUUCACUUUGUGUAAUGAAAUAUAAAGGGCAUUGGUGUGUAUGUGUUGGAAAUUCAAUGAGAAAUAAUGGCUGCAUGGAUUGUACAGAUCUUUAAGAUUCAACUUAGCUAUAUGUGCAAAUGUGUAUAUUUGAGUGAUUCAAUUUGUUAUGUCGACUAAA